UCCAGGCUGUUACCUGGGCUAAGUGUCCUUCU
rnacentral:piRNA from 1 species